ensembl:misc_RNA 7SK 7SK RNA
GGAUGUGAGGGCAAUUUGGCUGUGACAUCUAUCACCCCUUUGAUCGGCAGUGUGGAUUAGGCUGAUCUGGCUGGCUAGGCAGGUGUCCCCUUCCUCCCUCACCCCUGUGUGUCCCUCCCAAAGCCACACACUCCAUCGAAGAGGACAAUCUUCCCCCAUAGAGGAGGACCAUUCUUAAGUAAAGGAUGUAAGAGUAGCUGUGCUCCCCUGCUGCAAACUGCAAACAAGCUCUCAAGGUCCACUUGUAGAAGGUAGGCUAGUCAAGCUUCCAAGAGUCCAGACACAUCCAAAUGAGGAGGAACAGGUGACAACCUUCCAUUCUUA